UCAGGCCAUUCCCUGCAGCUGAUGAGCUCCAAGAAGAGGAAUCCUCCUAAGGUGGGUCCUGUAGUGUUGGCCUGGAGAGCU
rnacentral:hammerhead_ribozyme from 1 species